rnacentral:rRNA from 1 species
UACAGGCUUAACACAUGCAAGUCGAGGGGCAGCAUGACGAUAGCUUGCUAUUGUUGAUGGCGACCGGCGCACGGGUGAGUAACGCGUAUCCAACCUGCCCUUGUCCAUCGGAUAACCCGUCGAAAGGCGGCCUAACACGAUAUGCAGUUCUCCGCAGGCAUCUAACGAGAACGAAAUGUGAAGGAGAAGGAUGGGGAUGCGUCUGAUUAGCUUGUUGGCGGGGUAACGGCCCACCAAGGCGACGAUCAGUAGGGGUUCUGAGAGGAAGGUCCCCCACAUUGGAACUGAGACACGGUCCAAACUCCUACGGGAGGCAGCAGUGAGGAAUAUUGGUCAAUGGGCGAGAGCCUGAACCAGCCAAGUAGCGUGCAGGAUGACGGCCCUAUGGGUUGUAAACUGCUCUUAUGCGGGGAUAAAGUGAGCCACGUGUGGCUUAUUGCAGGUACCGCAUGAAUAAGGACCGGCUAAUUCCGUGCCAGCAGCCGCGGUAAUACGGAAGGUCCGGGCGUUAUCCGGAUUUAUUGGGUUUAAAGGGAGCGUAGGCCGUCUGGUAAGCGUGUUGUGAAAUGUCGGGGCUCAACCUGGGCAUUGCAGCGCGAACUGUCAGACUUGAGUGCGCGGGAAGUAGACGGAAUUCGUCGUGUAGCGGUGAAAUGCUUAGAUAUGACGAAGAAC